CAGAAUUUGAGGUUGAUUGUGUAUAUUUCAUUCUGGAGGGUUGCUCCUUUGUCUUUCCAGCUUUGUUUUUCUUGAGGGGUGGCGGCGGCCUGCUGUUCUCUUAGGAGCUGGAGAUCAGUGGGUAGGGUUUGCAUAGUGUAAAUAGGAGUCUUUUCGUCGGACACUCUUCUGUCCACUUACCGACACUGGCGCGCCGCAUCC